rnacentral:rRNA from 1 species
ACUCCUACGGGAGGCAGCAGUGGGGAAUAUUGGACAAUGGGCGCAAGCCUGAUCCAGCCAUGCCGCGUGAGUGAUGAAGGCCCUAGGGUUGUAAAGCUCUUUUACCCGGGAUGAUAAUGACAGUACCGGGAGAAUAAGCUCCGGCUAACUCCGUGCCAGCAGCCGCGGUAAUA